rnacentral:misc_RNA from 1 species
GGAAGGAUCAUUAUAAGAUUCUAACGGUUCUAGCCCGUAAAAAGGCUAUGAACUAUUCAACCCUUUGUGAACCAAACCUUUCGCUUCGGUAGCAAGCACAGUUAAUUCUGUGCUAUAAGCCUACCGGCAGCACUAUUAAACUUUAAAUAUUGUCUGAUUAUUAUAUUUUUGAAUGAAUCAAAACUUUCAACAACGGAUCUCUUGGUUCUCGCAUCGAUGAAGAACGCAGCGAAACGCGAUAGUUAAUGUGAAUUGCAGAAUUCAGUGAAUCAUCGAGUCUUUGAACGCAUAUUGCGCCCAUUGGUAUUCCUUUGGGCAUGUCUGUUUGAGCGUCAUUACAACUCUUCAACAUGAAAAUGUUGGUUAUGGGCUCUGUUUUUAUAACAGGCUUUAAAGUUGUAUGCUCUGCAGGUUACUUUGCCAAACCAAAACAUAGUAAUUCUUCUUUGUUUAGUACGGCUUUGUAUAUUCCUGCCUGAAUAAAAAAUCUUUCUAAGGUUUGACCUCAGAUCAGACAAGGAUACCCGCUGAACUUAAGCAUAUCAAUAAGCGGAGGAAAAGAAACCAACAGGGAUUGCCUCAGUAACGGCGAGUGAAGCGGCAAUAGCUCAAAUUUGAAAUCUGGAGUCUUUGACUUCCGAGUUGUAAUUUGAAGAGGAUGCUUCGGUUGUGGCCUAGGUCUAAAUCCCUUGGAACAGGAUGUCGUAGAGGGUGAGAAUCCCGUACACGGCUAUAGGCUUUCUUCCAUGUGUAGCACCUUCGAAGAGUCGAGUUGUUUGGGAAUGCAGCUCAAAAUGGGUGGUAAAUUUCAUCUAAAGCUAAAUAUUGGCGAGAGACCGAUAGCGCACAAGUAGAGUGAUCGAAAGAUGAAAAGCACUUUGAAAAGAGAGUUAAACAGUACGUGAAAUUGUUGAAAGGGAAGCGCUUGCAAUUAGACUUGCUGCAGUUGAUCAAUGUUCCUUUUGGUGCAUGCACUCUGCUGUUUGCAGGCCAGCAUCAGUUAGAGCGGUAGGUCAAAGACUUCAGGAAUGUGGCUUUCUUCGGGGAGUGUUAUAGCCUGUUGUGUAAUGCUACCAGCUCUGACUGAGGUCCGCGGUUCGUCCUAGGAUGCUGGCAUAAUGAUUGUAAGCGACCCGUCUUGAAACACGGACCAAGGAGUCUAACAUCUAUGCGAGUGUUUGGGUGUUAAAACCCAUACGCGAAAUGAAAGUGAAUGGAGGUGGGAGUCUUUUAGAUGCACCAUCGACCGAUCCUGAUGUUCUCGGAUGGAUUUGAGUAGAAGCAUAGCUGUUGGGACCCGAAAGAUGGUGAACUAUGCCUGAAUAGGGUGAAGCCAGAGGAAACUCUGGUGGAGGCUCGCAGCGGUUCUGACGUGCAAAUCGAUCGUCAAAUUUGGGUAUAGGGGCGAAAGACUAAUCGAACCAUCUAGUAGCUGGUUCCUGC